rnacentral:rRNA from 1 species
CCUUACCUGGCCUUGACAUACUAAGAACUUUCCAGAGAUGGAUUGGUGCCUUCGGGAACUUAGAUACAGGUGCUGCAUGGCUGUCGUCAGCUCGUGUCGUGAGAUGUUGGGUUAAGUCCCGCAACGAGCGCAACCCUUUUCCUAUUUGCCAGCGGGUAAUGCCGGGAACUUUAAGGAUACUGCCAGUGACAAACUGGAGGAAGGCGGGGACGACGUCAAGUCAUCAUGGCCCUUACGGCCAGGGCUACACACGUGCUACAAUGGUCGGUACAAAGGGUUGCUACCUCGCGAGAGGAUGCUAAUCUCAAAAAGCCGAUCGUAGUCCGGAUCGCAGUCUGCAACUCGACUGCGUGAAGUCGGAAUCGCUAGUAAUCGCGGAUCAGAAUGCCGCGGUGAAUACGUUCCCGGGCCUUGUACACACCGCCCGUCACACCAUGGGAGUUUGUUGCACCGGAAGUAGGUAGUCUAACCGCAAGGAGGACGCUUACCACGGUGUGGCCGAUGACUGGGGUGAAGUCGUAACAAGGUAGGCGUAGAUGA